GACGAACGCUGGCGGCGUGCUUAACACAUGCAAGUCGAACGGAAAGGCCCUGCUUUUGUGGGGUGCUCGAGUGGCGAACGGGUGAGCAACACGUGAGUAACCUGCCCUUGACUUUGGGAUAACUUCAGGAAACUGGGGCUAAUACCGGAUAGGAGCUCCUGCUGCAUGGUGGGGGUUGGAAAGUUUCGGCGGUUGGGGAUGGACUCGCGGCUUAUCAGCUUGUUGGUGGGGUAGUGGCUUACCAAGGCUUUGACGGGUAGCCGGCCUGAGAGGGUGACCGGCCACAUUGGGACUGAGAUACGGCCCAGACUCCUACGGGAGGCAGCAGUGGGGAAUAUUGCACAAUGGGCGGAAGCCUGAUGCAGCAACGCCGCGUGCGGGAUGACGGCCUUCGGGUUGUAAACCGCUUUCGCCUGUGACGAAGCGUGAGUGACGGUAAUGGAUAAAGAAGCACCGGCUAACUACGUG
rnacentral:rRNA from 1 species